UUUUCUUGUGUAUAGUUUUGCAUAGAGGUUAAAGGUUGAAGGAUUUUUUUUCAAACCAGGGAGUCUAAAGGUUAAGCAAACCACAAGUUUACACCGUGACAAUAAAUCCCCAAUUAGCAUGGCUCAUAAUCCAAUACAGCAUAAUUGCCUCAGUGUAUUUAGGUGCAUUAGCUUCAUUAAGUAAAAAACUCAAGUUUAAUUGAACCAAAAUAUAACUUGCAGGUAUUCUUACUAAAGGAAUGACAAGUCAUGAGUUUCACUAGGCAUUAGCUUCAUUUCUGAUCAAAAAAAUAUGGUUGAAGGAUUUUUUUUCAAACCAGGGAGUCUAAAGGUUAAGCAAACCACAAGUUUACACCGUGACAAUAAAUCCCCAAUUAGCAUGGCUCAUAAUCCAAUACAGCAUAAUUGCCUCAGUGUAUUUAGGUGCAUUAGCUUCAUUAAGUAAAAAACUCAAGUUUAAUUGAACCAAAAUAUAACUUGCAGG
rnacentral:lncRNA from 1 species